rnacentral:rRNA from 1 species
GGACCCGCACAAGCAGUGGAGCAUGUGGUUUAAUUCGAAGAUACGCGCAGAACCUUACCAACACUUGACAUGUUCGUCGCGAAACUAAGAGAUUAGUUUCUUCAGUUCGGCUGGACGAAACACAGGUGCUGCAUGGCUGUCGUCAGCUCGUGUCGUGAGAUGUUGGGUUAAGUCCCGCAACGAGCGCAACCCUCACUUUUAGUUGCCACCAUUUAGUUGGGCACUUUAAAAGAACUGCCAGUGAUAAGCUGGAGGAAGGUGGGGAUGACGUCAAGUCCUCAUGGCCCUUACGUGUUGGGCUACACACGUGCUACAAUGGCACUUACAAUGGGAUGCAAAGAGGUGACUCCUAGCUAAUCCCAAAAAUGUGUCUCAGUUCGGAUUGCACUCUGCAACUCGAGUGCAUGAAGCUGGAAUUGCUAGUAAUCGC